CCUUUGCUUCCCACGAAUUUUCUUGAGGUCCUUCUACUUCUAACGACACAGCUCCCUCUCCGGCUGCCCAGAUCCGGUGAUUCCCUGGUGGACGACGACUACUCCACGACCGCUCCCUGCCUCCUCCCCCUCCCACUCCGGCAUCCAGGUUGGGUGACUCCAUCUCCCGGUCACCCCAUCGCCGCGCUGCACAUCGUCGUCAGGGACCAAGGCGCCGCCGCCACGGCGUCCUCCUCCCCGGUGGCCGCGGGUGCCCCGCCCACCAAGCUACCCCUUCUUAUCUUUCCGGAGGCGAUCUGGUAGUGCUCGAGCUCGCGGUGAUGCGGCCACGAUAUCCUCCUCCCCGGUGCUCCUAGAUCUAGCAAUAGCUCACCGGAGGCAAGCCGGGGUGCUCGAUCUGCUCGCCUCCUUCGCCUCGCAGGCUCAGCAAGCAGAAUCAAGGUUAGCUCCGUUUCUCCCAUUCCCCUCCCCAUCUCCCUCCUAUAGAUUUCUCUCCAAUGGCAGCUCGUAUGGGUUCGGUAGCCUUAUUCUUUCUGCCAGCUGAAGUCUCCUCUCAUUGUGCCUGGCACCUCUCUCUGAGACCAACAGGUUUGAUCGCCUUGUCACAUAUGGUACAUAUGUCUUACUGUAAUUUGGUUGAUUCCGGUUAGUGUUCUUUUUCUUUAGGGGAGGUACGUAUUUGGAUGUAGCUCACUGGCCAGGAGAACCUGCGGUGCCAGCAGACCAAUCUAAUCCGUAGGUGCUGAAUGUGCAUACAGUUAUGUAGUAUGUGCAAUUUACUUGCUCUGUUUUUUAUGGGGAUUUUGGAAUUGUUCAUACAUGCAUGAUCCAUAUCCGUUCUGUGAUUUCCGUUGUCUAUUUACUGAUGACCCAAGUGUGUUUUAUUUUCAUCUUUCUUUGUCUUGAUAUAGCUGAAGGUCAACUGCUAGCCCAUUUGUGCAAUUCACUAAUUUAGUUGUGGCUGCUUGCUCAAAGUCUAUUUUAUAGUUGGCCAGCAUAUUAUCGUGGAAAAAUGUUUAACUGUUUUGGCUGGAACGAAACCAAAGCUGAUUAUUUUGAAAAUGCAUCAUACCGCGCUGAUUUACUAUAAUAUCAUGCGUCAUCAGGUUUUGGCAUAUACUUUUGAGUUAUAUAUCGCCAUGCCAAGUUGCCAACUAAUGAUACUCCCUCCGUUCGGAAUUAUUUGUCGCAUAAAUGGAUGUAUCUAGACGUAUUUUAGUUCUAAAUACAUCCAUUUCCGAGACAAGUAAUUCCGAACGGAGGGAGUACAUAGUUAUGUUUGAAGAACAAUGUUGAGUAGUGCAAGGUUACACCAGCACAGUUUAAACACAUCUUUCUUUUUGUUGAUAGUUUUUUAGAUAGCUGACUGCUUAUGCCCAAUGGUAGUUUAAUCGGGCAUCUUAAAUUUUCUAAGAAUCACACCGCUGCGGCGCAGCACACUUAGGUUGUUGGCUGCUAGUUAGGAACAAAAGGUGCAUAAAGGUCCAAAAGCAAGAAAUGAUUUGAGUCGUAGUGCAUAAAGGUGCUUAAUUUCCAUCUCUUGAAUGAGGCCAUUCCAAAAAAUAUCUACUCACUGAUUCUCCAUUGUGAGGCCAUAAAUAUACCUGCAAAAUUUGGAUGUACACUUGAACAAGUUCAAUAAAUCAUGGAACAGCGAGAAUAUACACUUGUCUCCAUUAUUCUUUUGUAAGAUCAUUGCCUGAGAUAUUAUUUAGUAUGACUUUGAGAUUGUAGUGGUUUAGUAAGUAUAACAUUUUUAUUUUCAGUUUGCAUUCAUUGUAACGUUUCGCCUGAAAGAAACAAUACUCUCGUUGUGUGUGCCUUCUAAUUUGCAACCUUGCAAUUGGAGAUGAACUCUCAGUUUGUUAUGUUUCAAGACACUAAGCUUUGGGUACGAUGGUUAGAUGAGAGCUCAUUGACCAGUACUAAGCUCUGCCCCUGCCAUUCUACUGCUACAUCUUGAUGUGAAGUGGAAGAAAUUAGCACGACGCCGCCUUUAGGAGGCCCCAUGUUAAAAAAAAACCCGGAAACUAUGUACCAACACUAUCAGGUCAAGAAUAUCUUGAUGUAUGAAACAUUCUAUUAACCCCUUGUUUGAUGAUGUUUGCUCAAAAUUUGUUUACAGCCGUGGAGUUGGUCAACAGCGUUCAAAAUAAAGAUUUCAGCGAUGCUACCUCAUUUGCAGAGAUUAAUUCUCCAAUGCUCUCAUUGAUGAUUUCAGUACUCCAAAAUAUAUUACUAGAAGUGACAUACGAUCAGAUUUGUUCUUGCUAGUACAAUGAUUUGUUCUUGUGCUCCAAACUGAAUGAUUUGUUUGGUAUCAUCUUUUUCCAGCACAUGAAGAUUCAUGAGCAAGAAGCACUAUCAAUGGAUGCAAGCUUUGGUAGCGAUGCUUAUUCAGCGGGGAUCACUUCAGUCCUUCAUACUCGGGGUUCGAUGUUCAUGUCGUAGAAAAUGAUAUGUCAUGUUAUGUACCAAGUGAUAUAUGUAUGUGUCUUGUGUACUCAAAUUAGGAUGGAUGGCGUGGAACCGAAAAAGUUUCUGCCUAGGAUGAUCCUCUUGGACAUGUAUUCAAAAAUUCGUGCUGGACAUACACUGCCAUAUUUGUGUCUGGGUCCAUAUUUGAAUUUACUAGGAACAGAAUGGUUGUGACGAUUUGAAGUAGAAAAUGAUCAUGCCAUGAUAUGUACCAAGUUUAUGUAUUUAUGUGUAUUGUGUACUCCAAUUAGGAUGAAUGGCAUGCACUGAAAUUUUUCUGCCUAAGAUGAUCCACUUGGAAAUGUAUUAAAAAAACCGUUCUUG
rnacentral:lncRNA from 1 species